GAGGAAACUUGUGCUAAUACCGGAUAAGUCUUUACGGAGAAAGCUUUAUGCACCAUUGGAUGAGCCCGCACUUGAUUAGUUUGUUGGUAGGGUAAUGGCCUACCAAGACUAUGAUUAAUAGCUGAUUUGAGAGGAUGAUCAGCCACAUUGGGACUGAGACACGGCCCAAACUCCUACGGGAGGCAGCAGUGGGGAAUCUUGCACAAUGGAGGAAACUCUGAUGCAGCGAUGCCGCGUGAGUGAAGAAGGCCUUUGGGUUGUAAAGCUCUUUCGUCGGGGAAGAAAAUGACUGUACCCGAAUAAGAAGGUCCGGCUAACUUCGUGCCAGCAGCCGCGGUAAUACGAAGGGACCUAGCGUAGUUCGGAAUUACUGGGCUUAAAGAGUUCGUAGGUGGUUGAAAAAGUUGGUGGUGAAAUCCCAGAGCUUAACUCUGGAACUGCCAUCAAAACUUUUCAGCUAGAGUAUGAUA
rnacentral:rRNA from 1 species